rnacentral:rRNA from 1 species
AACGCGUGGGUAAUCUACCUCUUGGCGGGGGACAACUUUCCGAAAGGGAAGCUAAUACCGCAUAAGCUCACGACCCCUGCGGGGGUUGAGAGAAAGAUGGCCUCUCCUUGGAAGCUAUCUCCGAGAGAUGAGCCCGCGUCCCAUCAGCUAGUUGGUGAGGUAAUGGCUCACCAAGGCUAAGACGGGUAGCUGGUCUGAGAGGAUGAUCAGCCACACUGGUACUGAAACACGGACCAGACUCCUACGGGAGGCAGCAGUGAGGAAUAUUGGGCAAUGGGCGAAAGCCUGACCCAGCUACGCCGCGUGAGUGAUGAAGGCCUUCGGGUUGUAAAGCUCUGUGGGGAGGGACGAAAAAAGCCUGGCUCGAAUAGGACCAGGCCUUGACGGUACCUCCUUAGCAAGCACCGGCUAACUCUGUGCCAGCAGCCGCGGUAA